rnacentral:rRNA from 1 species
AUGGAUCACAACCUUAGACUUGUUGUUUGGAAUGUGCAUGGUUUUAUUGCGCGUGCCCGACACACGGCGAUCCGCUCGCUGAUUGUAACCACCUCCGCCUCCAUUGUUUGCCUUCAAGAAACAAAAAUGUUGUUCAUUUGCUCGUCGGUUGUUCUGGACACCCUGGGCUCCGAGUUUGAUGACUACACGUAUCUCCCGGCGCAUGGCACGCGGGGCGGCAUCUUGCUUGCAUGGAAGAGCAGCACCGUGACCAUCACG